CUGUAAAAAAUCACUUGUAUCAUCCCUUUUUAUUGGGAAGCAUACACAAAAUUCAAGUUAGUUCCUAUUGAGGAGCAGAUUGUCCAUCACUUCUUUAAUCCCCUUGUUCCAAUGCUACAUCCUUCCACAUCUCAAAAUUAUAAGUGACAAACUACAAAUACAUAACCACCACCUUGCUGAAGCAUACAAGGACGGUUAUGAACCAAACUCAACAACAGCUAAUUGAAAACAACAAAAUCAUACACCUGGAACUUACAUUUGCAGAAUUCUUUUGAUUAAAGUACUUCCACAAAAAUGCACAUGUCUACAGAUAUGGCAGCCUCUUCCUGCGGAGCCGAGAAAGCACUUUUUUGCCAUAAAUGUUGCUGCGCAUUCUUGGAAUGUUUAUUUGAAUCAGUGCUAGCAAAGCUCUCAAGACUGGUCCCUUAGAUACUAAUAAUGCAGACUGGAUGACAUAGUUUCCAAAAGAAUCCACAAGGAGCAUAGAAGCAUUUGGGCUCCCUAGCAACUCCCAAAUAAUUUGGGUAGAUUGCUCCUCUCUUGACUCAAACAAGCACUUUUCCACAACAUUGCUGCCAUACUUGUUGCAGGCAAGAGCAGCAUAGCUCCCCUCAAGUUGUCUAAGAAGAUUUGCUGUGAUUUGUGGGACCUUCAAUCCCAGUAAAUGCUGUACUACAUAGUUGCCAUAUCCAUCUUCUGCCAAGAGUAGUGCAUUUGCUGUUAUCUCAGCCACCAGACGAUCUCUAGCUUCUCCUUUAGAGAAUUCAACACAUUGUUGAAGUAUACAGCAUCCACUUUUAUCUGUUGCAAUUUCAAAGCAGUUAUCCGCCACCACAUUCAGAAGAUACUUAUUGUUUUCAUCAGAGAAAUGCUCUAAGCAAUGUUUGAUUACAUGUUGACCAUUCAUGUCCUUCGCCAGUGCAACUGCACCGAGGCUUAGAGCUGACAUAACUACAGAGACUUGCUGUUGGGAGGUAAUACGUUCCAACAGCUUCUGUACAGCGCGAGUUCCAUGCAUGUUAAGACAAAUCCUAACAAGUUGAAAUUCGCUUUUAGUCACCGUUAGCAGAAUCUGAGUCCUCUGUUCCUCACUACACACCUCCACAAGCUUUUGUACGACAUAAUUCCCAAAUGGGUCCAGCAUUAACUCACCCACAUAGUCUAUCACCUCCAAAAAUACCAUGUCAAUUCCCUCCUGCGUUACGCUCCCAAGGAUGCUCUGUAACAAUCUACAACCAUUUUGAUCCUUUGCAAAUCUCAAAAUCCUACCCCUCAAAUUCUCCAAAGGAAAGUAAUUGGAAGAUUCUUGCAGCCGAUGAGGCCUCUUAUUAUACAAACUAGACCUAACAGAAUUCUGGCUUUUUGGCAGCAAGUAGCCAUUUAUGGAACCGUUUGAAAAUCCACUUGAAUCAGCCCUCAAGAGUCCGUUAACGUCAGGAAUGAAACUAUCCCAGAAAUCAA
rnacentral:misc_RNA from 1 species